rnacentral:rRNA from 1 species
GAUGAACGCUGGCGGCGUGCCUAAUACAUGCAAGUCGAGCGAACAGAUGAGGAGCUUGCUCCUCUGACGUUAGCGGCGGACGGGUGAGUAACACGUGGAUAACCUACCUAUAAGACUGGGAUAAUUUCGGGAAACCGGAGCUAAUACCGGAUAAUAUAUUGAACCGCAUGGUUCAUUAGUGAAAGACGGUUUUGCUGUCACUUAUAGAUGGAUCCGCGCCGCAUUAGCUAGUUGGUAAGGUAACGGCUUACCAAGGCGACGAUGCGUAGCCGACGUGAGAGGGUGAUCGGCCACACGGGAACUGAGACACGGUCCAGACUCCUACGGGAGGCAGCAGUAGGGAAUCUUCCGCAAUGGGCGGAAGCCUGACGGAGCAACGCCGCGUGUGUGAUGAAGGUCUUCGGAUCGUAAAACUCUGUUAUUAGGGAAGAACAAAUGUGUAAGUAACUAUGCACGUCUUGACGGUACCUAAUCAGAAAGCCACGGCUAACUACGUG